rnacentral:misc_RNA from 1 species
GAUGAAGAACGCAGCGAACUGCGAUAAGUAAUGUGAAUUGCAGAAUUCAGUGAAUCAUCGAGUCUUUGAACGCACAUUGCGCCCCCUGGCAUUCCGGGGGGCAUGCCUGUCCGGGCGUCAUUGCUGCCCUUCAAGCCCGGCUUGUGUGUUGGGUCGUCGUCCCCCCCGGGGGACGGGCCCGAAAGGCAGCGGCGGCACCGCGUCCGGUCCUCGAGCGUAUGGGGCUUUGUCACCCGCUCGAUUAGGGCCGGCCGGGCGCCAGCCGGCGUCUCCAACCUUCUAUUUUACCAGGUUGACCUCGGAUCAGGUAGGGAUACCCGCUGAACUUAAGCAUAUCAAUAAGCGGAGGA